rnacentral:lncRNA from 1 species
AGGGAAGAAGGGAAGGAAGGAAGGAAGAGGGGAAGGAGGGGGAGGAGGGAGGAAUGAAGAGAGAGAGGAAGGCAGUGAAGGAGGGGAGAGAGGAAGGAAGGGAGAAAGGAAAGAAGGAAGGAAGGAAAAAAGGAAGGGAAAGAGGAAGGGAUAGAGGAAGGAAAGAAGGAAGGAAGGAAGGAAGGGCAAUUGGUACUAACUUCUUGUAGUGCCCAGGCACUCUUCCCCUAGUGGGCAGGGCAGAGAGACUGUGAAAGGUGGAGAUGAAGGAGAGUCAUCAUUUCACUCUUGAGAAAGGACGGAGCAGUCUGUGUGGAAGAGAUGAGAUCUGGGAUAAAUUGGAAAAGGUGUCAAAAAAUUAGGAGGGAAGAAAUAUUUCCAGCAAGUCUGCUACCACACUCCUCAAAUUCAACUAAGAGUGGUGAUUUAAUCUGCAGGCCCCGACUGGACGGCUUUGGCUAAGGAACCAACGCAGGUGGAGAAGGAGGCUGACGAUGGAGCCCAGGCACUCCAGCCUUGAAGGAGGAGAACCCGACCCAGAACGAGAAACACAGCAGAGAGGGAAUGGUCAACCCCAGAGCACUGGCCACUUUGGGAAAAUGGACAUCUCCUCUCCUCUGGCUGAAGGAAAGGACUUUAAAUGCCCUGUAAAACACAUAAAACAAGACUCAGAAAAUGGAUCCAAGUGGCAACUCAGCUAUGUUGCUGGGUGAACAGCUUCUCUGGCAGUGUGGGGCGACGGGGUCGAGGGCCAUCUGCCUGUGUGGUCCCUGCAUUGUCCAUCAGCCCGGAACCCUACCCUGCAACUUGAGCCCAGGAUGCCCAGCAAAGUCCAGUGCACUGGCUGGCUCGGCUGGCUGAGGAAGAGCGUGCUUUUCACAGAGCACUACCUGGCCCCCGCAAGGGGACGCAGACGUGGCGGCGCUCUCUCAUGGACAUCAGGAGCAGGAUUUGCAAACCAUGUUCACUCUGAAGUCCUGAUGGAAGAAUAGA